GGAAGUACGUCAAGCGACAGUCAAUGAAUGUUUGUAGGUUAGUUUCAUUGUUUGGACGUUUUAAUCGCGAGUGGUGAUAUUCAAGUUUUAAAUAAUAAAGAAAAAAAGAAUAACGAGAAAAUGAGUAAUUCAACUAUUUCCGAUCAAUCCCUCAUGGAUAAGUCCAUGCGAAGUGUAUUCGUCGGGAACAUCCCGUACGAAGCUACGGAGGAAAAUUUAAAAGAUAUAUUCAGCGAAGUUGGGCCUGUACUUUCUUUCAAAUUGGUAUUUGAUCGUGAAACUGGGAAACCUAAAGGAUAUGGCUUCUGUGAAUACAAGGAUCAAGAGACUGCGCUUAGUGCUAUGAGAAAUUUAAAUGGGUAUGAAAUUGGCGGAAGAACACUUAGGGUAGACAAUGCAUGUACAGAAAAGAGUCGUAUGGAAAUGCAGAGUCUUUUGCAAGGACAAAAUACUGAAAAUCCAUAUGGAGAGGCCGUUCAAGCUGAUAAGGCUCCAGAGGCUAUAAGUAAAGCUGUUGCUUCCCUUCCACCGGAACAGAUGUUUGAGUUAAUGAAACAAAUGAAGCUAUGUGUGCAAAAUAAUCCUAAUGAGGCACGCCAAAUGUUAUUACAGAAUCCACAACUUGCUUAUGCCUUAUUACAAGCACAGGUAGUAAUGCGAAUAGUGGAUCCUCAUACUGCAGUUAAUAUGUUACAUAAAGCUAAUCCAAUCCCAGGAGUAUUAACACCUUCCGAUAAACCAGUUACUCAUCAGAUUCCUCCACGUAUUGAAGAACCAUGGGCACCACCAAGACCUACACCAGUUUCCAAUCCACCUGCACCAAUUUUUGCUGGUCAAGAUGUAGAUCUUAGAACAUUAGAUAGACAAAUGGAUCCUCGUUUAGCUAGAAUGGAUCAGGAUUUAAGAGGACCGCCCCAAACUCAAACAACCCCAGUUACCGCACCACCUAUUAUAUCCGCUACUACUGACCCGAGAGGGCCUACUGCUUUUAAUAUAACAGACAACAGUCUUCCUGUAGAAGGAGUGGAGAGCUUUUGUCGUGAUCCAAGAGCUGACAGAUUCGGUAGAGAUCCAAGGGAUCCACGAGAUCCCCGUAUGCCUAUUGACCCGAGAAUUACUAAAGCCAAUCCUCCUGUACCAGUAGCACCGCCAGUCGUACCAAGACCAGUAGCAGCACCUGCAGUUCCAGCACCGACUGCAGUUUCGACUAGUGUUGUAGGUCCUGCUACUGCUCUUUCAACAUCUGCAAGUUCGGCUACUUCUAGACUCAUGGCUGGUAUGUCUCCAGCGGGAAAUAUACCAAGUGGUGCAUCAGAUCAGGAAAAGAUGGCGAGCGAAGAGGAAGUAGUAGUAGUAGUAGUAGUAGUAGUAGUAGUAGUAGCAGCAGCAGUGGUGGUAGUGGUGGUGGUGGAGGUGGUAGUACUGGUGGAGGUGCUGCUGCUGGAGGUGUUAGCAAGAUAUCGAAGAGGGCUAAACCGGUGGAGUCGGAAGAGGACGAAGAGGAUUACUAUUACGAUGAGGAAACCGAACCAUUGGACGAACGGAACAAUCCUACGAACGAGGCACCUGCCGUUCCACCCGGAUUUCUCAGUCCUUCUGUACGAGAAUAUCUCGAUCUUGGUAAAUCGAUACCCGCACAUCCUGUAAUCUGACGGAGGCAAAACGAUGAAAAAUACUUGAGGAGAGAAUCUCGACGAUUACGAGAUAGGAGAGAUGGUUGGGCAAAAUUCCAGAAUGGGAGAGAAAGGGUCGGCCAGGAACGGAUUAUCCGGUGCUAGGAAAGGUGCCGUAUACGAAUUUCUAUUGCGACGAUCAACCCUAUCCAGGGUUUUUUGCCGACGUUGAGACCAGAUGCCAAGCUUGGCAUUAUUGCGACAUUGACG